rnacentral:rRNA from 1 species
AUAGAUAGUUAUAAAUCAGUCUGAGAGCACCGGUUCUCGUCCGAUCACCGAAGUUCAGCAACGUCGAGCCUGGUGAGUACUUAGAUGGGUGACCGCUUGGGAAACCUUGGUGCUGUAAGCG